UACGUAGGUGGCAAGCGUUGUCCGGAUUUAUUGGGUUUAAAGGGUGCGUAGGUGGUCAAUUAAGUCAGUGCUGAAAUAUCCCGGCUUAACCGGGAGGGUGGCAUUGAUACUGAUUGACUUGAGUAGAGUUGAGGUAGGCGGAAUUGACGGUGUAGCGGUGAAAUGCUUAGAUAUCGUCAAGAACACCGAUAGCGAAGGCAGCUUACUAAGCUCAAACUGACACUGAUGGACGAAAGUGUGGGGAUCAAACAGG
rnacentral:rRNA from 1 species